GUUUACUUCGGCGAGAGGGAAAUCCUAUGGCUUGGCACACCUUGCACAACCUCAUGACUUCCCAGAUCUCAAGUGAUGAUAAUUCAUUGACGGUGAUAAUUCUGCUUUUGAGGAAAUUGUACUUACAGCAGACCCACACUCCAGCCACUGUGAAGGCAUCUGUAACAGGAAAGGUGGAGGCUAAUUUCAUCCUGGCCUGGAGAAAAUCAACCAUCACUUUACUUUAGACUUUUGUGAUACAGUGUGGAAACAGGCCCUUCAUUGAUUGUAAUCAUGUAUUGUCUUUCUGCUGACUGGAUAGCAUGCAACAAUAAGUUUUCACUGUACGUCAGGACACGUGACUAUAAACUAAACUGAUACCCUUCCACCGAAGGUAAGUACCCUUACCCAAACUUCCGUGCCGUCAAGCGAUUAGACAGUACACUAACACUACCCUACACACACCAAAGACAAUUUUACGAUACAAUAAACUUUAUACAUCCCCGGCAGAAAAUUGGUCUGCCAAUUAGCCUACAAAC